ensembl:snoRNA SNORA70 Small nucleolar RNA SNORA70
UUGUAGCUAAUUAAGCCGACCAUGCUCCUUUCCUCACGGGGUCUGGUGUGCAGUGGCUGCAAACAGCAGCCUCCUUGGUAGUGUAUGCAGCCUGUUGCUUGUAGAGGUUGCAAGAAGGGACCUUGGAGACAUUC